rnacentral:rRNA from 1 species
UUAUUUUGUGUUAUAUUAUUUAGUACUGAUUUUUAUUGGAAGUUACAUUUGUUUUAUUAAAUUUUUGAAUAGAUUUGAUUUAUUAUAGUUGAUUAGUAUUGUGAGAGAAUUUGGUUUUUAUUUGUAAAGGAAGUUUGUUUUACUGUACCUUGUGUCUCAGGGUUGAUUAAUUAAAGUUUAUGUAUUUAUUUUUCUCGAAUUUAGAAGAGCUACAAUUUUAUAUUUUUUAUUGUAAAAUAAAUAUUAUUAAUAAUAUUGUGGGGGUGAAACGUUAUUCGAUUUUAAGUAUAUCUGGUUCUCAAAGAAAUUUUUUUAAUUUAUUUUUCGUUUUAAUAUUUUUUAUAAGUUUUAUAUUUUUGAUGUUGACGAGAUUAUAGGGUGGAUGGGAUGAGCUUUUUACUUGAUUUAUAAAAUUUGUUUAUUUUGCUUUGGAAAUAGGAAUUGAAGUUUCUUUUUUAGUAGUGUUUUAUAACAAGCCAGGCUUAUUUAUUAUUUUUAUUUUAUUUAUGUAUUUUAUUUGAUUUUUUGUUUAAAUGUUUUAAAUUGUUUAAUAAUGAUUAAAUUAGUAGAGAAUUUUAAUAUGAUAUUUUAUUCUGGUUAGGUAAAAUUAAGGAAUUCGGCAAAUGUGUUUUCUACCUGUUUAUUAAAAACAUGUCUUUUAGUUUAUUAUUUAAGGUCUGGCCUGCCCAAUGAUUUUUUAUUUAAUGGCCGCGGUAUUUUGACCGUGCAAAGGUAGCAUAAUCAUUAGUUUCUUAAUUGGAAGCUGGAAUGAAGGGUUGGAUAAGAAAACUUCUGUCUCUUUUUUAUUGAUAUUGAAUUUUAUUUUUGAGUGAGAAAGCUUAAAUAUUUGAUGAAGACGAGAAGACCCUAUAGAGUUUUAGGCUUUAAAGUUUAUUUUAAUUGGUAUUUUAUUAUUUAUGUAUUUAGUAGCCUUUGGUUGGGGUGACUGAAAAAUUUAAUUAACUUUUUUUUUACUUUAACACUGAUUUGUGAUUGUAUGAUCCUUUUUUUUGAUUAUAAGAAUAAAUUACCUUAGGGAUAACAGCGUAAUUAUUUUUUAGAGUUCUGAUCGAUAAAAUAGUUUGCGACCUCGAUGUUGGAUUAAAGUUUUACCCGGGUGUAGGGGCUUGGGCUUUAGGUCUGUUCGACCUUUAAAAUUUUACAUGAUCUGAGUUUAAACCGGUGUGAGCCAGGUUGGUUUCUAUCUCUUUUAUUUUUUAAUGUUUUAGUACGAAAGGACCAGACAUUGUUUUGAAAAAGUUUAGUUUUGAAUAUUAUU